rnacentral:rRNA from 1 species
GACGAACGCUGGCGGCGUGCCUAAUACAUGCAAGUCGAGCGGACGAAUCGAAAGCUUGCUUUUGAUUCGUUAGCGGCGGACGGGUGAGUAACACGUGGGCAACCUGCCCUGUAGACGGGGAUAACACCGAGAAAUCGGUGCUAAUACCGGAUAACACGAAAUGUCGCAUGACGUUUUGUUGAAAGACGGCGCAAGCUGCCGCUACAGGAUGGGCCCGCGGCGCAUUAGCUAGUUGGUGAGGUAACGGCUCACCAAGGCGACGAUACGUAGCCGACCUGAGAGGGUGAUCGGCCACACUGGGACUGAGACACGGCCCAGACUCCUACGGGAGGCAGCAGUAGGGAAUCUUCCGCAAUGGACGAAAGUCUGACGGAGCAACGCCGCGUGAGCGAAGAAGGCCUUCGGGUCGUAAAGCUCUGUUGUUAGGGAAGAACAAGUAACGCAGUAACUGGCGUUACCGUGACGGUACCUAACGAGAAAGCCACGGCUAACUACGUG